rnacentral:lncRNA from 1 species
AAGAGGCAGGCAGAGGCAACUCCAGAGCCUUUGAGUCACUUUCCUUCUGGGCCCUGCAACUGGUCACUCUGGCCAUCUUGGGUCACGUGACUCAGAGGACAGCUCCCAGUUCUGAGAACGCUUCAGGUGGUCCUGAUUGUGGCCGUCCAUCUCUAGCAGCCGAAUGGCCACCUCGCCAUGCCAACGGCCUCGGUGCACCCGGCCCCAGCGGCCCUGUCCAAUGGGCUCGCCCAGUUCCACCUGUUCAAAGGGGAUGUCCCACUCUUGCAGGAGCUGGGAUUACAGGCGUGCAUCACCACACCUGACUAAGAUGAAGACAGCGGUUCUUGGCAGGGAUCAGAACCCACCCAUCAAGCUCUGAGAGCAUAGAGAUGCCAACUCCCACCCCAGGCUGACUGACUUAGCUCCCAGGCCCAGAGAAGGUAGUUCCAGUGAGGGCCAGCAAGGGGCGCUGUGUGUUAAGGCUGGGAAAGGCAAAGCCAGCUGACACAUGCCAAUGCCUCAGUGUGACCCUGAACCAGUUCCCUGUAAAAGACUAGGCAGGAUGGAUGGACUCCAGAGUCCCAUCCAGCAAGGUACUGCCCACAUGAAGGUCCACACCUCCAGGACUUCUCACCCUCUUGCCUAGCUGCAGGGGACUCAAGCGUGUGGGGAGAAGGCACCGGGUGGGAUGGAGAGGGUCCCAGCAAGGGGCAGUUA